rnacentral:rRNA from 1 species
AGCGGCGGAUGGGUGAGUAACACGUGGGGAACCUGCCCCUAAGUCUGGGAUACCAUUUGGAAACAGGUGCUAAUGCCGGAUAAUAAAGCAGAUCGCAUGAUCAGCUUUUGAAGGGCGGCGUAAGCUGUCGCUAAGGGAUGGCCCCGCGGUGCAUUAGCUAGUUGGUAAGGUAACGGCUUACCAAGGCGACGAUGCAUAGCCGAGUUGAGAGACUGAUCGGCCACAUUGGGACUGAGACACGGCCCAAACUCCUACGGGAGGCAGCAGUAGGGAAUCUUCCACAAUGGACGCAAGUCUGAUGGAGCAACGCCGCGUGAGUGAAGAAGGUUUUCGGAUCGUAAAGCUCUGUUGUUGGUGAAGAAGGAUAGAGGUAGUAACUGGCCUUUAUUUGACGGUAAUCAACCAGAAAGUCACGGCUAACUACGUGCCAGCAGCCGCGGUAAUACGUAGGUGGCAAGCGUUGUCCGGAUUUAUUGGGCGUAAAGCGAGCGCAGGCGGAAAAAUAAGUCUAAUGUGAAAGCCCUCGGCUUAACCGAGGAACUGCGUCGGAAACUGUUUUUCUUGAGUGCAGAAGAGGAGAGUGGAACUCCAUGUGUAGCGGUGGAAUGCGUAGAUAUAUGGAAGAACACCAGUGGCGAAGGCGGCUCUCUGGUCUGCAACUGACGCUGAGGCUCGAAAGCAUGGGUAGCGAACAGGAUUAGAUACCCUGGUAGUCCAUGCCGUAAACGAUGAGUGCUAAGUGU